rnacentral:tRNA from 1 species
GCCCACGUGGCGGAAUUGGCAGACGCGCUAGGUUCAGGUCCUAGUGACUGUAACGGUCAUGGGGGUUCAAGUCCCUCCGUGGGCA